GUGGGGAAUAUUGGACAAUGGGCGAAAGCCUGAUCCAGCCAUGCCGCGUGUGUGAAGAAGGUCUUCGGAUUGUAAAGCACUUUAAGUUGGGAGGAAGGGCAGUAAGUUAAUACCUUGCUGUUUUGACGUUACCGACAGAAUAAGCACCGGCUAACUUCGUGCCAGCAGCCGCGGUAAUACGAAGGGUGCAAGCGUUAAUCGGAAUUACUGGGCGUAAAGCGCGCGUAGGUGGUUUUGUAAGUUGGAGGUGAAAUCCCCGGGCUCAACCUGGGAACUGCCUCCAAAACUGCAUGACUAGAGUACGGUAGAGGGUAGUGGAAUUUCCUGUGUAGCGGUGAAAUGCGUAGAUAUAGGAAGGAACACCAGUGGCGAAGGCGACUACCUGGACUGAUACUGACACUGAGGUGCGAAAGCGUGGGGAGCAAACAGGAUUAGAAACACGUGUAGUCC
rnacentral:rRNA from 1 species